CGGGGCGUAGCGCAGUCCGGUAGCGCACUUGCAUGGGGGGCAAGUGGUCGCUGGUUCAAAUCCAGUCGCCCCGACCA
rnacentral:tRNA from 1 species